rnacentral:lncRNA from 1 species
CCUUUGACCAGAGCCCUUAUGGUCUCAGCUCUAAAGUAGUGCACUAUAUAGGGUGCCAUUUGGAAUGCCUGCUUCGUUUCUGCCUGCUCUCUUUUGAGUAUUCAAAGCUGUAGGGCAUAGAGGGCCCAAUUCAGACUAAGGAAAAUUAUACCUUUCCUACAUAUUUUUGAUUUAAACACUUCUCAGUAUCUGGUAUUCAGACUUACCUCACGCGGGUGCUCAACGAGCUCUGAAUACAGCACUGAAUACAUUUAAUUCAACCGCUGAAAACCCUCCCACUUGCUAGCCAACACAUUUCCUCAUGGAGUUUUUUUACAUUCAAAAUGGGGUUUUAAAGUACAUUUAUCUAAAGUCAUCCCUUUAAAUAUGAAGUACCUUUAAUUAUAAUUUACUCCAGACUCAAUAGGAUACACUUGAGUAUUUAAACAUUAAGGACAUCAGCUCUUUCCAUGACAUAGACUGACCAGGUGAAUCAUUACAUCAGCUCUUUCCAUGACAUAGACUGACCAGGUGAAUCAUUACAUCCGCUCUUUCCAUGACAUAGACUGACCAGGUGAAUCAUUACAUCAGCUCUUUCCAUGACAUAGACUGACCAGGUGAAUCAUUACAUCAGCUCUUUCCUUGACAUAGACUGACCAGGUGAAUCAUUACAUCAGAUCUUUCCAUGACAUAGACUGACCAGGGAAUCUCUUACAUCAGCUCUUUCCUUGACAUAGACUGACCAGGUGAAUCAUUACAUCAGCUCUUUCCAUAACAUAGACUGACCAGGUGACAUAGACCAGACCGAAACGGAGUAAAAUCUCAUAUUUAAAAAAAAAAAUGCUCAAAAAUCCAAUGUGUCCCUUUGACUGAAGGCAGCUGUCUGUGCUGAGAC